rnacentral:rRNA from 1 species
AUUGAACGCUGGCGGCAGGCCUAACACAUGCAAGUCGAGCGGAUGAAGGGAGCUUGCUCCUGGAUUCAGCGGCGGACGGGUGAGUAAUGCCUAGGAAUCUGCCUGGUAGUGGGGGAUAACGUCCGGAAACGGGCGCUAAUACCGCAUACGUCCUGAGGGAGAAAGUGGGGGAUCGUCGGACCUCACGCUAUCAGAUGAGCCUAGGUCGGAUUAGCUAGUUGGUGGGGUAAAGGCCUACCAAGGCGACGAUCCGUAACUGGUCUGAGAGGAUGAUCAGUCACACUGGAACUGAGACACGGCCCAGACUCCUACGGGAGGCAGCAGUGGGGAAUAUUGGACAAUGGGCGAAAGCCUGAUCCAGCCAUGCCGCGUGUGUGAAGAAGGUCUUCGGAUUGUAAAGCACUUUAAGUUGGGAGGAAGGGCAGUAAGUUAAUACCUUGCUGUUUUGACGUUACCAACAGAAUAAGCACCGGCUAACUUCGUG